GCCAGUCUCCAUUUCAGCCUAUUAUGCAGAGUAAUUAAUUAAUAGGCAGCCGUUGCUGGCAGAUUGCUUUUCCGUCAGGCUGAAAUGAGAAAACUCAAUGAUUGGUCUGCGCUUGGCAGCCAUUACAACGGAUGAAUUGAUAAAGAGGGUGACUGGUGUUUCAAAAAGAUUCGUUUCGCCUCUUUUCUUUUCCUCCCAACAUGCAAGUGACUCGGUGAGAAAGAGAAUGCAUUGCUUUUAAUCCAUGGGACUUUUUUCUGAAAGACCUUCAUCGAGCCUAAUAUUGAUUCUGUGUGUGAUAUACUGUAAAAAUGAAUUGGGCUGCUUUUUAAGAGUUUUGUUGCACUUUAUUCUCUGCUGUAUUGCAACACAGUAAUGGAGCAACGCAUCAAUGGACUGUUACCUGUGCCUUUACAGAUAUUGCCACGAGGUGUGUAUGGAGUGUUAGUGUGCUGGUCCAAAUUACAGUUCAAUACCACAACAGUAAACGUGCCCGAGGGCCACCUAGACCCUAGAUCACCGUUCAAAACCCCAUACUCAGCAAUAGCCUGCUCGUGUGUGUGUGUGAGCAUUUUCCAUUAGUUAAAUUUCCACUUUAUGUCAUCCUCAAUGGCUUCGGAGAGACAAAUAAAUACCAGUUUGGUUUCGUGAAGCCAUUUCUUUCUGAAUGCAUGCAUUUACACACGUACAAAAUUCUUUAUGAGAGUUAAAAGCACCCUAAGCUGCAUCUCCGCAUGUCUGUUUUAGAUAGACACAUUCUGUCAUUUUAAACAUCUAAUACGUUCUGCUCAUAUUCUUUUUCUCUGGCAUCACGUGAUCUACAAUCUAGUCAAUUUUCUUUCAGCCAGUAAGACCCCAGGGAUCCACAACAUACACGGCCUGGAGGUGAACACGCGGCCCGAAUCCUCCAGUGACAGGGGCUCCUCUGCGGUCCAAUGAUAGUUUAAAGAAAUCUUCAGCUGAGCUUAAGAAGAUUUUGACAAAUGGACAGGUUAUUGCUCUCGACAUCACAGUGGAGCUGCAGAAGCAGAUCAUGUCAGAGCUUGAGAUGCUUUACAAGUGUGAUACAUCAUAAAGUUCUACCGUGCUUUCUUUGUGGAGAACAGAAUAUCGAUAUGCACUGAGUUUAUGGAUGGUGGUAAAAGGAUUAACGUACCUCUGGAGCCUGAAGAUUUUACAUAGAGAUGUGAAACCCUCCAACAUGUUGGUUAACACACAGGGUCAGAUCAAACUGUGUGACUUUGGAGUCAGGACACAGGCACUGGGAUCUUUUUCAUAUCCACAGGUGAGUCUACUUCAUCAAUCCAAAUACCAAUUUAACCAAUUUAACAUUUAGCUCUUGAAUACUCAAUAGUUCUACACCCCAGAGUCACGGCGGACACUCACUCCUUCGUGAUCUUAGUCUAUGGGUAGUGAUUUUCUCGUUGUUCACCCCACAAUAGCUUAUCUCACAAUUGCUCAUCCAAUUCUUGUUUACUCAGAUUACAUUACAUUGCAUACAGUACUGCAGACCUGCUCCAUUCCUCAAUCUCAACAACCCUGUAAUCAGAUUUCAUGCAGGGAUUUGUCAAGAUUAUCCCAUUUUAAGAAUGACAAUCCCAGAUUAUAAUCCGGAUUCAUUUGGAGGUUCCUAGUUUAAGAACCACAUGGUACCCAAUGCACAAAGCGUGUCAUUUUAUGGUGCCUUUAGGAUGUCAUGGUGUAGAUGUAUAGUGUGUUUAAAAUACUUACAGUAGUUCUACAUGUUUAAUUAUACUGUGUCAAAAAUUGUGUUGUAUUUUCAAAAUGAAUCCCUCUCUAAUUAAUAAAUUAGAUCAGGGGUGUCCAAAGUCGGCCUUGGAGGGCUACUGUCCUGUAAAGUUUAGCUCCAACCUUCCCCAACACACCUGUCUGAAACUUUCUAGUAUGCCUAGUAAAACUUUAAUUAGAUGGUUCAGUUAUGUUUAAUUGGGGUUGGAGCUAAACUCUGUUGGACAGUGGCCCUCCACAGGACUGGACAUCCCUGAGUUAGAUCUAUGAACCACUUAUGGCGCUUUUCCAUUACCAGCUCAACGACUGGAUUAGUAUCGCCUCGUCUCGGCUCAGUUCACUUUUCGCUCUGUUUUCCAUUGCAGAUAGUACCUCCACAAUAGUAUCUGGUAGUCAUAGCGCUGCCGCAGGAAACUGUCAUGACAUAAUCUUCUACGCGACACACACCCGCUUCCCACACACACAGGACAAUGGAGGAAAUCAAGUGUAUGAAUGAAACACCUCAUUUGACCACGGCUUAUUCUUCCGAGUACGCAACCUCUGGCCAAACUAUUUAAAAAUGGCAGGGGUUAAUCAGGAUUCUUCGUCUGGCGCAUGCAAUGAUGACGCAGUGAAUAGUGACAAUUCUCUCUGACUAAUCAGCAGUCUGCCGUGUUUUCUCGUCACAUUUUAGCUCGCUCAGAACCUCGCCGGAGGUGAUACGAAAAAAAGUACCAGGAAGCAGGUACAGGUACAACUUUUACACAGUGGAAAAACAAACAGAGUCAAGUUGAGGCGAGCUGGUACUUUGUAGAAAAGCGCCAUUAUAUAAACAGUUUCUGAUUCUCCUCUAGUUCUUUAAAAACUCUCUUUUCUUAAUUAAUUUAUACAUUGUAACACUUUACAAAAUGGUUGAAUUCAUUGACAUCUAUUGGGGCAUCGUUGCCUGAUGGUUAGAUAGUCGGACUUGUAACCCAAACGUCGCAGGUUUGAGUCUUACACUUACAUUUAUGCAUUUAGCAGAUGGUUUUAUCCAAAGCGAUUUACAGUGCAUUCAGGCUAUACAUUUUUGCCAGUAUUUGUGUUCCUUUUGCACUGAUAACGCAAUGCUCUACCACUAAGCCACAUGAACACCUUCGGCAGGGAUUUUAUGUAGGGAGAGUGAGUGUCCAGCGCUCUCUCCCACCCUUAAUACUACGACUGCGGUGAGACCCUUGAGCAAAGCUCCAAAAACCCAACUGCUCCCCGUUCGCCGCAGCAGUAUGGCUGCCCACUGCUCUGUGUGAGUGUGAGUCUGUUCGCUACUCACUGUUGUGUGUGUAUGCACUUGGAUGGGAUCAAUGCAGAGCACAAAUUCCGAUUAUGGGACACCAUAUUUGGCUGCAUGUUACAUCAUACUUUCCACAAAAAAUAAGCACAAAUGUUUUUAACAUUUAUAAUAAGAAAGGUUUCAAAUUCACUAUUAGCUAGUUUUAUUGAGUUUUACCUCUGUAUACUGCUGAUUUGCUGCUUAUUAAUAGUUAGAAGGGGGGUUGUUAAGUUUAGGUAUGGGGUAAGAAUUGGAUAUAUGGUCAUGCAGAAUAAGACAUUAAUAUAUAUAAUAUAUAGUACUAAUAAACAGCCAAUAAGGAACUAGUUAAUCAUGGGACUUGGCCCUUAAAAUAAAGUGUUUUACCAAAAAUCUUACGGACCCCAAACCUUUGGACAGUAGUCUACAGUAUGUCGAAAGUAACACAAAGAUUUGUGAGACAAAGGUUUAACACAAACCACGAUUUAUAGAUAUAUAUUGAGAAUAUAUAUUGUGAAGUGUUUUUUUUUUAAUCAUUUAGUUGUAACAGUUUUCAGCCCUGUGUAUAUAGUGUAAUAUACUGUAUAUUCAAAUCCGAUUCAUUGCCUUAGUUUUCUCCAAUCAGACUCUCUGCUUUUUAAAGUUCUGCAUGUAAGAGUGCAGUGAGUUUAAUGAGGGAAAUGUUGACUAAUGCUCAAUAAAUUACUCCCAGCAUGCCUGUUGGGUUAAUUAGCAUAUUAAAACAAAGCAGCCACUCAGGGCAUGCAGGGGAAAUCAGAAAGGAACGUUUUGAGGCUGCAUCUAGAUCCAAAGCCUUGAGCAUCAAAUGGUCACGGAGGCUGGGCUUGGCACUAGUGUGUGUUUGUACUUUAUCUUACACAUCGCUUGAUGCAAAGCUAUCAUGCAAGCAUAGCAUAAGUUCCAAAAUUGAUCAUGCAAUAUGUGAAAUUUAAAGGAUAUUAUGUGUAGUACUAUGAUUAAUCCUAAAUCCUGAUCCAUUUUUAGCAUAAAUAUUUUUAACAUAAAAUAGACAAAUAAAAGAUGAACAAACUGUUUGAGAUGAUGAACAUGCACAACAGUUGAUUGGUAAAAAGAAUGUUAGAAGGCUAGAGGCCUGGGGGUUUUCUGUGUACUGUGUGUGCAUUAUCCCGUGGCCUGGAGGCUUGUCUCAUCUGAAAUUGUUUUCCUCUGCUCUCCUGCAUUAUCUAUUAACAGGGCCAUUAUCAGGUUUAUCCACUGAGUAUUAUUACGUAAGCUUAUGUAUUCAAGUGUACACAGAAACAAACCUUCGUACACACAGUGUCUGGAACCGUGAUUGAAUCUGUUGAUGUCAAAUAUUUGACUGCAUUUCUGUUCCUUACAGGACUGCUUUUUGUGUUGGCCAAUAACUAAUCCUUCAAAACAGUGUGUGAAAUCCAUUUUGGUCCACCAUUCUUCUCAGAGUGUAUCAUCAUACAGUAUAGAAAUAUCAGUUGAAAUCAAUGAAAAGCAAAACUUUUGUUCUUGGCCCGUAGAGCCAGAGGCAUUAUACUGAAGCAUUUCAUGUAUACACACCCCAUUAAUUUAUUACUUCCUCCUUUAAUCUUCCGUACUCUCCCUUUCCCAGUUCCUGCAUUUAAGAAUAUGUAUGGAAUGGAAAUGGAGGGAGAGAGAGAGAGAGAGAAAGAGGCAUGAAGGAGAAAGAGGGAGGGGGUUAGUCAGUAAGAAAGAGACGGAGAAUUAAACCUCCCACUGCUAGAGUGUUUUUGCUCUUGAUGUUAAUUUUCACAGCUCCAUAUGGUGCUGCAGACUCUUCACCUGCAGGCAUCACAUACAUACACACACACACACACACACACACAUGCGUGCACAAACCACCCAGCCAGCACACAUGCUACCUCAGGCCUGGCCUGUCACUCACAUCGGCUCAGGCAUCUGUCUGUUCUCUCUCUCUCUCUCUCUCUCUCUCUCUCUCUCUCUCUCUCUCUCUCCCUCACACACACUGAUGCUCAAAGAGUCAUUGUCCAUUGUGAUCUGAGAUCUCAAGAGAUGCCUGCUGUAUUUCUGCAUUGACUUCUGAUGCCCUGCCCCCACUCCACUCAAACACUCAGAACUGCAAAACUGCUGCUGUUUGGUGUGUGUGAGUGAAUGGGUGUGUGUUUUCUAUGCAUUAUCUUGUCACUGUUUCUAAAAGGCUCUUUAAUUUCAUCUCACCCCAUGUUGGGAUUAAUUUGCAUUCUUUGUCAGGAGUUAAUGGCGUCUCCCGAUGGCUCGCUCUGAAAAUCUUUGAAGACUGCAGACUGGCUGGCAUGUGUAUACAGCCUCCAGCGCUUCUCCUCCUGAUUGAUUUGUUGUUGCCUUUUCUGUUUUCUGGCUGUUUUGGUUUAAACCUCAUAUUCAUCUGAAUAUACUGUAUGAUUUUUCUCUCCCAGAACUUAUUGCUAUUUUUAAGCAGUAUCACUCUAGGAAGAGUGUUGUUGCUGUUGAGCCGCAGAUUCAAAAGAACCAGGGUUCCUUAAUGGCCUCUUCAGUUAUUGCAGUGCGUUGUUGAUGAGGAUCCUCCGGUGCUUCCAAUCCAAUUCCAAUUUGUCCACUUCGUUUCACAAUGUAUAAUGAAGCAACCCAAAGAAAGACUAGCUCCAAACAAUCUUAUGGACCACCCCUUUGUCAUGCAAUAUAAUGAUGGCAACAUGGAGGUCGUGUCCAUGUGGGUGUGUACAGUCUAGAGGAGCGCAAAAGCAAGCAAGCACAGAGACUCAUGUGAACAGCAGCAGCACCGGAUGGAAUUCUGGUGUUCACUUUACUCUUCCACUAAACCUAGAGAAGCAGCAGCUGAUCUUGCAGCAGCUCACAUAGAGCACCUCCUCCCAACCUUGAGUUCAGUGGUGCAUGGUGAGAGAACUGCUACGAGUCGAAUGCAGAUUAAGCUGCAAAUCAGGAUUUUAACCAUGUAUGUUGCUUUGCAUUGAUGCAAAGCUUUAACUUUGUUCUUCUGCAGUGGGUUUCUUUUCACGGUCUGUGCAGAUUCCAAAGUAAAUGUUUUGGCAGAAGAUCCUUGCGGGGGGGCUGUUGCUUGCUCGACUCCACUUGGAUUUGAGUGAAAAUGCUGUCUCUGUCUGUACUUAAAGCAACAAUCUGGCUUUGCCAAAACAGUGUGGGCACGUCAUAAAUCAUCAUGGUUUUUAAAUAUAUGGGGCUGUGUCAAGCAUUGCUCCCUGCUACAGUGCAAGUCAUGCUGCUGUUGUUUUAAAAGCCACUUUUUGAAGAGUUUCCAAAACAGUUGUGGCAGUAUAACAUUGAAGAUGGAAAAAUGUGAUGCAUUGUUAUGAUGGAAGGCAGUGGAUGGCUUGGGAGGAUGAGCUUUUAGAUAGUUCAGCAGCAGCCGAUGGGAAUGAUACAUGAGAGCCCAGUAGAUUUUGUUCUUGCACUCAUCCAGCAUAAGCCCCGCUGAUAACUUUAUUAAAGGGGUUCAUGGGAAUUGGUUCCUUUGAUUUGUGCAUUGCCUUAAUCUCUCUUUCUAGGUAAUUUUAUACACUUUUAGCUUUAUGUGCUCUAAAAGUUGGGGUCUGUUAAGAUGUUUUUCCAGCAUUCAGUAAAGAUGCAUUAAAAGUGACUGUAAAGACCAUAUUACAGAAGACUUCUUUUUCAAAUAAAUGUUGUUCUUUUGACCUUCCUGAAAAAAGUAUCACAGUUUCCUCAAAUAUGAAGCAGCACAACUGUUUUAACAUAGAUAAUAGUAAGAGUUUUUAUUUUUAUUUUAUGUUAUUACACCAGUGGAGACGACUGCGGAAGAAGAGUGCAAGUGGAAGUAGAGCAUUUUAUGUAAUGGAGAAUGUGUAUAGUUCUUAAAAUGUAGUCACAUACCAAAACCAAAUGUUGCAUUGUUAGAUUUUUUGAAGCUAUAUUACGUUUGUUGAACCAUUUUUUAAUAUGUACAACUGUAUUGAACUAAUUUCUUAGAUUAUAAUGACAGUUGGUCAAAAAAAAAAAAAAAAUCUGAGCAACAAAACCAACCAUGUGACUACCUAUAAUAUAAUUGAGGUGAGGUUUGCACAUAAAGGUGAUUUUUUUUUUUUUUUUCGCAAUAAAACCUUUCAGAUCUCA